rnacentral:rRNA from 1 species
AGGGCAGCCAAGUCGUGAGGCGGAGCUAAUCCCUUAAAGCCAUUCUCAGUUCGGAUUGUAGGCUGAAACUCGCCUACAUGAAGCUGGAGUUACUAGUAAUCGCAGAUCAGAAUGCUGCGGUGAAUGCGUUCCCGGGUCUUGUACACACCGCCCGUCACACCAUGAGGGUCGGGAACACCCGAAGUCCGUAGCCUAACCGCAAGGGGGGCGCGGCCGAAGGUGGGUUCGAUAAUUGGGGUGAAGUCGUAACAAGGUAGC